rnacentral:rRNA from 1 species
UACGUAGGGGGCAAGCGUUGUCCGGAAUCAUUGGGCGUAAAGCGCGCGUAGGCGGCCCGGUAAGUCCGCUGUAAAAGUCCAGGGCUCAACCCUGGAAAGCCGGUGGAUACUGUCGGGCUAGAGUCCGGAAGAGGCGAGUGGAAUUCCUGGUGUAGCGGUGGAAUGCGCAGAUAUCAGGAGGAACACCGAUAGCGAAGGCAGCUCGCUGGGACGGUACUGACGCUGAGGCGCGAAAGCUAGGGGAGCGAACAGG